rnacentral:lncRNA from 1 species
AAGAAGUCAGGCCACUACAAGUGCCACAGCUUGAGCAAACUGUGCAGCCUGUAGCUCCACCUGGGAAGGUGUAAAAAAUCUGGGAGGCCACAAACCAUGGAAGCUGUACGCAUGGCGUAGUGGACUAGCGGUUAGAGGAGACCCCUCCCUUGCAAGUCGCAGCAACAAUGGGGGCCCAAGGUGAGAUGAAGCUGUAAUCUCACUGGAAGGACUAGAGGUUAGAGGAGACCCCCCCGAAAUAAAAAACAGCAUAUUGACGCUGG